rnacentral:piRNA from 1 species
UCUGGAUAUGGAUCAGGAUGAUGACCUA